rnacentral:rRNA from 1 species
GACGAACGCUGGCGGCGUGCCUAACACAUGCAAGUCGAACGGACAUUAAUUUUUCGGAAUUGAUGUUAGUGGCGGACGGGUGAGUAACGCGUGAGCAACCUGCCUUUCAGAGGGGGAUAACGUAUGGAAACGUACGCUAAUACCGCAUGACAUAUAUUUGCCGCAUGGCAGAUAUAUCAAAGGAGCAAUCCGCUGAGAGAUGGGCUCGCGUCUGAUUAGAUAGUUGGUGGGGUAACGGCCUACCAAGUCAGCGAUCGGUAGCCGGACUGAGAGGUUGAACGGCCACAUUGGGACUGAGACACGGCCCAGACUCCUACGGGAGGCAGCAGUGGGGGAUAUUGCACAAUGGGCGAAAGCCUGAUGCAGCAACGCCGCGUGAGGGAAGACGGUUUUCGGAUUGUAAACCUCUGUCUUUGGUGACGAAACAAAUGACGGUAGCCAAGGAGGAAGCCACGGCUAACUACGUG